UACGUAGGGUCCGAGCGUUGUCCGGAGUUACUGGGCGUAAAGCGUGCGCAGGCGGCUUUGCAAGACAGAUGUGAAAUCCCCGGGCUUAACCUGGGAACUGCAUUUGUGACUGCAUGGCUGGAGUGCGGCAGAGGGGGAUGGAAUUCCGCGUGUAGCAGUGAAAUGCGUAGAUAUGCGGAGGAACACCGAUGGCGAAGGCAAUCCCCUGGGCCUGCACUGACGCUCAUGCACGAAAGCGUGGGGAGCAAACAGGA
rnacentral:rRNA from 1 species